UCUACAAAUCUCGAACUCUCAGUUUUUCCCUUCCCAUUCCCUUCCCCGCUGGUAACCACAAGCCUGUUUUCCAUGUCUGUUACUGUGACUUGAAACUCACAAUCUUUUACAUGUUUGAAUCUUCCUUUCAUUUCUCAAAAGCAAUUCAAAGAUGCUAAGAAAUCCUGUCAUGCUUUUGGUUCUAUGGCUUUCAGUGCUUCCUGGUAAGAUAUUUUGUGUUUUGUCUGUAACUUUCUGUUAAUUUUGAAGAACUUAAAAUGACAGGACAAGAUUAGACAAAGAGGAGGGAAGGCAGGGAGGGAGACAGUGAAGAGUCUGUUUCUCUCUGAUAUCAGAGAGCAGGAUUUCUUGAGCUGGAAUACUGGCUAGGGUUCAAAUAGUACAGUUGUCCCAUGGGUGCCUAACAACCUGCAUUUCUGACAAGCUUCCGGGGGCUUUGAUGCUGCUCAUCCCAAGUCCCUCGUUUAAGCAGAGGGUGCAGACUGCGUCCUGGGUGUUUGUGGAAAUAAGCAGCUUCAGUCAAUUCAAAAUCCAAAAUUGACAGUGAUCGGCACACUUGCCAGCACCAGCGGAGGCCAAAUGCUGCUUGAUGCUUAAGAUCCAGACUAUAGACAGAUGGCUUAGCUCUGUGACCAGACACACUCCUUACCCUCCCUGUCUCCGUUUCUCCAUCUGAAAAAUGGGAAUAAUCGUCGUACCUGCCUCACCAAGGUUAGUAUGGGAACUUACCUGGAUGAACAUAAAGGGAUCACACUCUAAAUCUUCAGUCAGUGAUGGUGGUGGGCUAUUAUCAUCAGCACUGAGAUAAAGAUACGCUCUUAUGUGGAAAUCCAACGAGACAUUUUGUAUCACUACAGAAAAGGAAUUGUAUUUCCCUCACCACAACUCCCCUCACCCUGUGAUCCCUUGUUUGUAUAAGUCAGAAACAGCAGGCACCUCCAGCCCUUUAAGUACAAAUCAGUACUAACUGGUAAGCAUGAUUUUAUGGAAACACCGACCCAUUCUCUUGGUCUGAAAAGUAAAAUUCUGACUAUUCUCAAAGCAAUUUGCAUCAAAACCUGUGUGCAGCUUUCUCCAAAAGAUCUUUGCUGGCUAAAUUCCCUCCCUCAUAGAGCAGGACAGACUCCUCUUAAGUCUACUCCCUGAAACAUUUUGGGAGGUCCAUAUCUGCUCAGACACGGAAGAAUUAACUGAGACGGCAGCUGAAACCAACAUGGGAAUGCCAAGUUCUGUGGAGGGAAGGAACAGAAUAACCUUUGAACUGAUUUCUAGGUCAUUUGGUGUCUUGAAAUCUCUGUCUCAGGGUUUAUUUUUAAACCCCUAAAAACUAGGUGUACCCUAGGGAGGAGAUUUGCUCUGAUUUUGGAAGCUCCUAAUUAGCAUGCUACAUUUCAUCAAGCCUGUGGGCAAGGCAGAGACUGGGCGGGGUCUUGGGUCCUCCCCCAGGCCCUCAUCAGCCCCAGAGGGGCAAAGUGGACGUGCCACUGCUCGGCCGGCAACAGGGCAAGUUUUGGGUUCAGCUGAUCUGACCCUAGCAUUGAGUGAGGUGCUGCCCCCCAUCACCUCGGCGACAGAAACUCCAGGUCUCAUCUCCAUACAAUCUGCCAGUGACUUGAACUUGAGAGUCCUUGAGUCUACUACACCAACAUCCGAGCUCCUGGGAGCGCCCAGGCAGGAAAGGUCAGGAGACCCAUUUUUAACAACAACAAGCCUCUGGCAGUGGCAGGCUGGUCCUGCUGGGACCACAAGCCAGGACCUAGUUGGCACUUGCUGUUGAUCUUGGCCCUCAAGAGCUCCAGCUUCUUAUGGCACCGUGGGGAAUGGGGUUAUUUCAGAAUCUGCUCUUUGGCUUUCUUUUUCUCCUAAUCUUAACGAAAUGGUGACUGGGAAGGACUUCUGGUUUAACAUUUUCCUGCAUCUGAGGAGUGUGUGUGAACUGUUCUUGUUUAAUUCCUCAGGAAGUUCAACACCAAUGGGAGCUGAAUCAAUAAUUACCAGAGAUUGUAUCCAACUCCCCUGGGAUUAGGCCCCAGAAAAUCCGCUUUCAAAAGAUAUGAAGACCAUGUGAUUGUGCCUCCUGCCUAGCAUCCUGCCAUUCUUGGAAGAAAAACAAAAAAGAAAAGCUGACAUCUGAACUAAUUUUCUCCAUGCCACACAUAACUCAGGAGGACACAGGCCAUUAGUUUUAGAAGGAAAUAAAGCACCAAAGCCUGGAUUAGCUAAUCUGUGGGAGAGGCCACUAUUAAUACAGAUGCAAAGAGUCUGCCCACAGUGAGGUGGGCCCCUCCUCCAGCACCUGUUCUGUUGCCUGUCCCAGUUUCUCACUACACAAGUGAAAGUUGUUUCAGAUGGACGCCCAAACCCACACCUGAUUCGGUGUGGGCGAGCAGCCCUGCCUGUGUUUGAGUCUAUCUGGGUUAGCAUCCCAAAGAAGAGAGCUGUAGUCAGAGACUGACAUCUGCCACACCCUUCGCAGGGCUCUGCCCUCAGGAGAAUUUCUGAAGCCAUGAGGACCUACUCUCUUCCUUGUCACAAGCCUCUCCUCAGCUUUGUGAGAUACUGUUCCUGCAGUACUUGAAUAUUAUCACUCCAUUCUCUCCUAGAUGCAAGGUCUCUACUGGGAAAUCUGCUGAUAGCCUUAUGAGGAAAGAUCAUUUUAGACUGAAAUUUUGGAGUAAGCUAUUAAUUUCAUGAACUUGGAAGUCCAUAUUUCUCCCAGGUUUGAGAAAUUCUCAGCCAUUAUUUCUUUAAAUAAGCUUUCUACCUCUUUCUCUGUCUCUUCUCCUUUUGUAACUCCAAUAAUAUGUACAUUGUUUCUCUUAACGGGGUCUCCUAAGUCCUAUAGGUGUUCUUCAGUCCUUUUCAUUCUUUUUGCUCCUCUGGAUAAUUUCAGUUGAUCUGUCUCACUGAUUCUUUCUUCUUCAUCUUCAAGUCUGAUGUUGAAGCUCUCUACUGAAUUUUUCAAUUCAGUCAUUGUAUUCUUCAGCUCCAAAAUUUCUUUUUUAGAUUUUCUGUCUCUUUGAUGUACGUCUUAUUUGUUCUUGUCCUAUUUUCCAGAUAUGAUUAAAUUGUUUGUUCUCUUGUAGUUCUCAGAGCAUCUUUAGACAAUUUUCUUAAACUAUCAGGCAAUCCUAGAUCUCUGUUUCUUUAGGGCCAGUUACUGGAGGUUGACUGUAUUCCUUUGAUGGAGACGUCUCCCUGAUUCUUCAUGAUCCCUGUAGCCUUGCAUGAGUGUCUGCAUUUCAAGAAGCAGUCAUCUCUUACAGACAUUAUGGACUGACUUUGGGAGAUGGAGGCUGGGUAUCCUACAUUGCCAUUUUGAUGAUGCCACCUCCAGCCCUGCAACUCAGGAGCAGCCAGAUGGAAGAG